UAGUUCAUAUUUGUAUUUGUAUUUUAUAGUUCACACUUUUAUUUGUAUUUUAUAGUUCUUGCCAUCAUUUAUAUUUUAUAAAUUUGCAUGUAAUUUUAAAUAACUAUUUCAUAUUUGUAUUUUAUAGUUGCCUGCAUAUUAUAUUUGUAUUUUAUGAUUUUAUUUUUUUUGUAUUUGUAUUCUAUUUUCGUAGAUGCACUUGUAUUUGUAAAAGAACUAU
rnacentral:lncRNA from 1 species